GCAGUCGAGCGAACAGAUAAGGAGCUUGCUCCUUUGACGUUAGCGGCGGACGGGUGAGUAACACGUGGGUAACCUACCUAUAAGACUGGGAUAACUUCGGGAAACCGGAGCUAAUACCGGAUAAUAUUUCGAACCGCAUGGUUCGAUAGUGAAAGAUGGUUUUGCUAUCACUUAUAGAUGGACCCGCGCCGUAUUAGCUAGUUGGUAAGGUAACGGCUUACCAAGGCGACGAUACGUAGCCGACCUGAGAGGGUGAUCGGCCACACUGGAACUGAGACACGGUCCAGACUCCUACGGGAGGCAGCAGUAGGGAAUCUUCCGCAAUGGGCGAAAGCCUGACGGAGCAACGCCGCGUGAGUGAUGAAGGUCUUCGGAUCGUAAAACUCUGUUAUUAGGGAAGAACAUACGUGUAAGUAACUGUGCACGUCUUGACGGUACCUAAUCAGAAAGCCACGGCUAACUACGUGCCAGCAGCCGCGGUAAUACGUAGGUGGCAAGCGUUAUCCGGAAUUAUUGGGCGUAAAGCGCGCGUAGGCGGUUUUUUAAGUCUGAUGUGAAAGCCCACGGCUCAACCGUGGAGGGUCAUUGGAAACUGGAAAACUUGAGUGCAGAAGAGGAAAGUGGAAUUCCAUGUGUAGCGGUGAAAUGCGCAGAGAUAUGGAGGAACACCAGUGGCGAAGGCGACUUUCUGGUCUGUAACUGACGCUGAUGUGCGAAAGCGUGGGGAUCAAACAGGAUUAGAUACCCUGGUAGUCCACGCCGUAAACGAUGAGUGCUAAGUGUUAGGGGGUUUCCGCCCCUUAGUGCUGCAGCUAACGCAUUAAGCACUCCGCCUGGGGAGUACGACCGCAAGGUUGAAACUCAAAGGAAUUGACGGGGACCCGCACAAGCGGUGGAGCAUGUGGUUUAAUUCGAAGCAACGCGAAGAACCUUACCAAAUCUUGACAUCCUUUGACAACUCUAGAGAUAGAGCCUUCCCCUUCGGGGGACAAAGUGACAGGUGGUGCAUGGUUGUCGUCAGCUCGUGUCGUGAGAUGUUGGGUUAAGUCCCGCAACGAGCGCAACCCUUAAGCUUAGUUGCCAUCAUUAAGUUGGGCACUCUAAGUUGACUGCCGGUGACAAACCGGAGGAAGGUGGGGAUGACGUCAAAUCAUCAUGCCCCUUAUGAUUUGGGCUACACACGUGCUACAAUGGACAAUACAAAGGGCAGCGAAACCGCGAGGUCAAGCAAAUCCCAUAAAGUUGUUCUCAGUUCGGAUUGUAGUCUGCAACUCGACUACAUGAAGCUGGAAUCGCUAGUAAUCGUAGAUCAGCAUGCUACGGUGAAUACGUUCCCGGGUCUUGUACACACCGCCCGUCACACCACGAGAGUUUGUAACACCCGAAGCCGGUGGAGUAACCAUUGGAGCUAG
rnacentral:rRNA from 1 species